GACGAACGCUGGCGGCGUGCCUAAUACAUGCAAGUUGAGCGCUGAAGGUUGGUACUUGUACCAACUGGAUGAGCAGCGAACGGGUGAGUAACGCGUGGGGAAUCUGCCUUUGAGCGGGGGACAACAUUUGGAAACGAAUGCUAAUACCGCAUAAAAACUUUAAACACAAGUUUUAAGUUUGAAAGAUGCAAUUGCAUCACUCAAAGAUGAUCCCGCGUUGUAUUAGCUAGUUGGUGAGGUAAAGGCUCACCAAGGCGAUGAUACAUAGCCGACCUGAGAGGGUGAUCGGCCACAUUGGGACUGGGACACGGCCCAAACUCCUACGGGAGGCAGCAGUAGGGAAUCUUCGGCAAUGGACGAAAGUCUGACCGAGCAACGCCGCGUGAGUGAAGAAGGUUUUCGGAUCGUAAAACUCUGUUGGUAGAGAAGAACGUUAGUGAGAGUGGAAAGCUCAUCAAGUGACGGUAACUACCCAGAAAGGGACGGCUAACUACGUG
rnacentral:rRNA from 1 species